AAGUCGUAACAAGGUUUCCGUAGGUGAACCUGCGGAAGGAUCAUUAACGAAUAACUAUGGUGUCUUGGUUGUAGCUGGCUCCUCGGAGCAAUGUGCACGCCCGCCAUUUUUAUCUUUCCACCUGUGCACCGACUGUAGGUCUGGAUACCUCUCGCCCUUCACGGGGCGGAUGCGAGGAUUGCUCGUAAGGGCUUUCCUCGAAUUUCCAGGCUUUACGUCUUUUUACACACCCCAAUAGUAUGAUGUAGAAUGUAGUCAAUGGGCUUCUUAGCCUAUAAAACACUAUACAACUUUCAGCAACGGAUCUCUUGGCUCUC
rnacentral:misc_RNA from 1 species